GUAGUAAUACCACAGGAGUACUGCAAAGAAUAGCAUCCUAGUAGUACAGUGGCACCAUAACUAUGACAUCAUCUAUAGCAAGGAAUGAAUACAAAAAGAUCUGCGUCUGUAUGAAUAUUAUGCAUUGAAUAAAGAGUUUAGCAGAUGUAUGUGUGUUUCAGUGUGGUUCAAGACCCAGCCUGUGAUCAGAGAUCCAGACCAGAAUCCAGAUCAGACCAGAUCAGACCAGUCUGUGUGUUCGCUGGAGGAGGGAACCGGAGCUCCUGUGAUUAAACAAGAGCGACAGGAACCGGAAACCAGCGGCGGAGCUGGAGGGAGUCGUCCCUUCGAUCACGAGGCAGCAGCACAUCCAGGCAGACCCGAAGCUCAGGAGAAC